UUUAAAGAGAGUUUGAUCCUGGCUCAGGACGAACGCUGGCGGCGUGCCUAAUACAUGCAAGUCGAACGAACGGAGGAAGAGCUUGCUCUUCCAAAGUUAGUGGCGGACGGGUGAGUAACACGUGGGCAACCUGCCUGUAAGUUGGGGAUAACUCCGGGAAACCGGGGCUAAUACCGAAUGAUAAAGUGUGGCGCAUGCCACGCUUUUGAAAGAUGGUUUCGGCUAUCGCUUACAGAUGGGCCCGCGGUGCAUUAGCUAGUUGGUAGGGUAAUGGCCUACCAAGGCAACGAUGCAUAGCCGACCUGAGAGGGUGAUCGGCCACACUGGGACUGAGACACGGCCCAGACUCCUACGGGAGGCAGCAGUAGGGAAUCUUCCGCAAUGGACGAAAGUCUGACGGAGCAACGCCGCGUGUAUGAAGAAGGUUUUCGGAUCGUAAAGUACUGUUGUUAGAGAAGAACAAGGAUAAGAGUAACUGCUUGUCCCUUGACGGUAUCUAACCAGAAAGCCACGGCUAACUACGUGCCAGCAGCCGCGGUAAUACGUAGGUGGCAAGCGUUGUCCGGAUUUAUUGGGCGUAAAGCGCGCGCAGGCGGUCUUUUAAGUCUGAUGUGAAAGCCCCCGGCUUAACCGGGGAGGGUCAUUGGAAACUGGAAGACUGGAGUGCAGAAGAGGAGAGUGGAAUUCCACGUGUAGCGGUGAAAUGCGU
rnacentral:rRNA from 1 species